rnacentral:rRNA from 1 species
AACGAACGCUGGCGGCAUGCCUAACACAUGCCAGUCGAACGAGACCUUCGGGUCUAGUGGCGCACGGGUGCGUAACGCGUGGGAACCUGCCCUUAGGUUCGGAAUAACUCCCCGAAAGGGGUGCUAAUACCGGAUAAUGUCUUCGGACCAAAGAUUUAUCGCCUUUGGAUGGGCCCGCGUUGGAUUAGCUAGUUGGUAGGGUAAAAGCCUACCAAGGCGACGAUCCAUAGCUGGUCUGAGAAGAUGAUCAGCCACACUGGGACUGAGACACGGCCCAGACUCCUACGGGAGGCAGCAGUGGGGAAUAUUGGACAAUGGGCGAAAGCCUGAUCCAGCAAUGCCGCGUGAGUGAUGAAGGCCUUAGGGUUGUAAAGCUCUUUUACCCGGGAUGAUAAUGACAGUACCGGGAGAAUAAGCUCCGGCUAACUCCGUG